rnacentral:misc_RNA from 1 species
GAUGGCAGCAGUGAGAGGAGCAGAUGGAGAUGAGAGAGAGAGAGAGACAGAGGGACAACAUACCUGGUUGCUGUGGUGCGCGAUGCUCUGUUCUUCAUUUUCUUGCAGUCACUGGGAAGGAUCAUCUUGGUGGCUCGCUGGCUUCUUGCAGUCAGGACUAUUUUUCGAUCAUGUUUUCAAGUUGGAUGGGGCACCUCAAACUAUUGUUUCAGACAGA